GGGGAUAUAGCUCAGAGUUACAAGCACCUGCCUGGCAAGCACAAGGUCCUGAGUUCCAUUCUUAGUACCCCCC
rnacentral:tRNA from 1 species